UACGGAGGGGGCUAGCGUUGUUCGGAAUUACUGGGCGUAAAGCGCACGUAGGCGGCUUUGUAAGUUAGAGGUGAAAGCCCGGGGCUCAACUCCGGAAUUGCCUUUAAGACUGCAUCGCUAGAAUUGUGGAGAGGUAAGUGGAAUUCCGAGUGUAGAGGUGAAAUUCGUAGAUAUUCGGAAGAACACCAGUGGCGAAGGACGACUUACUGGACACAUAUUGACGCUGAGGUGCGAAAGCGUGGGGGAGCAAACAGG
rnacentral:rRNA from 1 species